rnacentral:rRNA from 1 species
GAUGAACGCUGGCGGCGUGCUUAACACAUGCAAGUCGAACGGAGUGAAUAAAACGGAAGUUUUCGGAUGGAAGUUUUACUUACUUAGUGGCGGACGGGUGAGUAACGCGUGGGUAACCUGCCGUAUACAGGGGGAUAACACUUAGAAAUAGGUGCUAAUACCGCAUAAGCGCACAGCUUUGCAUGAAGCAGUGUGAAAAGCCGAGACGGUAUACGAUGGACCCGCGUCUGAUUAGCUAGUUGGUGGGGUAGAGGCCUACCAAGGCGACGAUCCAUAGCCGAACUGAGAGGUUGAACGGCCACAUUGGAACUGAGAAACGGUCCAGACUCCUACGGGAGGCAGCAGUGAGGAAUAUUGGUCAAUGGACGCAAGUCUGAACCAGCCAUGCCGCGUGCAGGAUGACGGCUCUAUGAGUUGUAAACUGCUUUUGUAUGAGGGUAAAAUUAGGUACGUGUACCUAACUGCAAGUAUCAUACGAAUAAGGAUCGGCUAACU